GAUAUCGGAAGGAACACCAAUAUGGCGAAGGCACUGUACUGGGCUUUACCUGACGCUAAGAGACGAAAGCUAAAGGAGUGAUUAGGAUUAGAUACCCUAGUAAUUUUAGCCGUAAACGAUGGAAACUCACUGCCGAGCCGGUAUUCGGAGCGGUGGUCAAGCUAACGCGUGAAGUUUCCCGCCUGGGGAUUACGCAUGCAAAUGUGAAACUCAAAGGAAUUGACGGGGACCCGCACAAGCGGUGGAGUAUGUGGUUUAAUUCGAUGCAACGCGAAAAACCUUACCAAGGUUUGAAAUCAUUCUAAAACUCUUUGAAAGAAGAGCCUCCUUCGGGAUAGAAUGACAGGUGGUGCAUGGCUGUCGUCAGCUCGUGUUGUGAAAUGUCAAGUUAAGUCUUGUAACGAGCGCAACCCAUGUCUUUUGUUGCUGUUUACAGUGCUUAAAAGAGACUGCCGCUCUACAGCGGAGGAAGGUGUGGAUGAUGUCAAGUCAGCAUGCCCCUUAUAUCUUGGGCUACACACGUACUACAAUGGUAGGGACAAUGAGUCGCAAACCUGCGAAGGCUAGCCAAUCUCAAAAACCCUAUCUCAGUUCGGAUUGUACUCUGCAACUCGAGUGCAUGAAGGUGGAAUCGCUAGUAAUCGCUGGUCAGCAUACAGCGGUGAAUACGUUCCCGGGUCUUGUACACACUGCCCGUCACACCAUGGAAGUCGAUCCUUCCCUAAGUCGUUACUCGAACCUUUUAGGACGAGGAUGCCGAAGGCAGGGUUGGUGACUAGGGUGAAGUCGUAACAAGGUAGCCGUACUGGAAGGU
rnacentral:rRNA from 1 species